GCUGCCGAGUCUCUGAGUCCAUCACUUCAGUACUGAGCCUGUUUAUAGGGUUUUGGUUUUGACUCCUGCUACUCGCUCUGAUUUUUCGGAGUAUGGAUGCCUGUGAUGACGAUGAGUAUCGGAAUGCCUCUAACAAAGACACUUCGUACUUGCGACCUGCCUCAGCCCCUACGUUACAAGAAGGCUAAAGCAUCUGCCGUGAAACUUGUUCGCUCUGACCUUUUGACAUUUGAAUGGUCAUGGAGAACAGGUCCAGAUCCUCCUCACACAUGUGCAGCGCUCCUGUAACGUUCUCCAGCUGAUCACAGUAGGCUAAUCAAACAUUAAAGUGCAUCUAAUUGAAAAAGCUAUCCGCCAGCAUAUGCUCCUCUCCCUGAACAGAACAGAUGGGUCUUAAUUCCAGUCCCCGAACUCCACUUUGAACAGUGCUCUAAAUCUGCAUAUCAUGGUGAACGUGAUCUCCACUUGGCUUCUUUGGCUUGUUUGUUUGGGCAGAAGGUGGUAUUGUACUUUAUUUAACGUCUGGCUCAGCUCUACUACUAACUGCACUUUUUUUUUUUUUUUUUACAGUAUAAAUACUCAGGUGUUUCAUCUAGUCUGUUUCUGUAUACUGGUGUAAGGCUGUAGUUUAGAGUGCAUUUAUAGCUGUGAAUAUCAUUACAUUUGUUUGUGUGGAGCAAAUCGAACCUUAAAGUCAAAGUAAUCAGUUACAGUAGAGUGAAAUUGAAUGUACUGAAGUAUAACACAUGUCUGUUUUUUUAACCUUUUACAUUCACUUAAAUACAUUAAUAUAUCCUA